rnacentral:rRNA from 1 species
GGGUUCGAUCACACCAGCACUAGUGCACCUGAUCCCAUUAAAAUUGUUAAGUUAAGCAUGUUUUAUCGAGAGUAGUACUAGGAUGGGUGAGCUCUUGGAAAGUUCUCAUCUUGCACCCC